AUUGAACGCUGGCGGCAUGCUUUACACAUGCAAGUCGAACGGCAGCACGGACUUCGGUCUGGUGGCGAGUGGCGAACGGGUGAGUAAUAUAUCGGAACGUACCCUGGAGUGGGGGAUAACGUAGCGAAAGUUACGCUAAUACCGCAUACGAUCUAAGGAUGAAAGUGGGGGAUCGCAAGACCUCAUGCUCCUGGAGCGGCCGAUAUCUGAUUAGCUAGCUGGUGAGGUAAAGGCUCACCAAGGCGACGAUCAGUAGCUGGUCUGAGAGGACACCCAGCCACACUUGAACUGAGACACGUUCCAGACUCCUACGGGAGGCAGCAGUGGGGAAUUUUGGACAAUGGGGGCAACCCUGAUCCAGCAAUGCCGCGUGAGUGAAGAAGGCCUUCGGGUUGUAAAGCUCUUUUGUCAGGGAAGAAACGGGCUUGGCUAAUAUCCAGGCCUAAUGACGGUACCUGAAGAAUAAGCACCGGCUAACUACGUGCCAGCCGCCGCAGUAA
rnacentral:rRNA from 1 species